AUAUAUUCUGACGGGAGCCGACUUGGAAACUGAAAUUGAUUUGAAACAUUAAUUUGCAUAUUGCAUCUCCCUGCUGCUCUAAGAGCAUUUAUAUCCCUGUGAGUUGAACACUUCAUGACUGAGAGCUGUCCUUCAUGACAACAGAACCCACAACAACCAUGACUUUUAUCACCAUCUUUAUCUGGAUAUUUGUCUUCUAUAUACAAGAAUCCAGAGGACAGUACACUCUGACUCAGACACCUGCAGUAAAAGCUGUUCACACUGGAGAGAUGGUCAACAUUGGCUGUAAACUCAGCAGUGGUAUAUAUGGUAAUUACCUGCACUGGUACCUACAGAGACCUGGAGAAGCUCCUAAACUCGUCAUUUAUAAGAUAAACAACAAGUUCACUGGGACUCCAUCUAGAUUCAGUGGCAGUGGAUCAGGGAGUGACUUCACUCUGACCAUCAGUGGAGUCCAGGCUGAAGAUGCAGGAGAUUACUACUGUCAGAGUUACCACAGUGGUAAUGUGUUCACACAGUGAUACAGAGUCGUACAAAAACCUCCCUCAGUCAGACUGCACAGUGAC